rnacentral:rRNA from 1 species
UACGGGGGGGGCAAGCGUUGUUCGGAAUUACUGGGCGUAAAGGGCUCGUAGGCGGCCAACUAAGUCGGAUGUGAAAUCCCCAGGCUUAACCUGGGAACUGCAUCCGAUACUGGAUGGCUUGAAUCCGGGAGAGGGAUGCAGAAUUCCAGGUGUAGCGGUGAAAUGCGUAGAUAUCGGGAGGAACACCGGUGGCGAAGGCGGCGACCUGGGUAGAUACUGACGCUGAGGUGCGAAAGCGUGGGGAGCAAACAGG